rnacentral:rRNA from 1 species
GUGGGGAAUAUUGGACAAUGGGCGAAAGCCUGAUCCAGCCAUGCCGCGUGUGUGAAGAAGGUCUUCGGAUUGUAAAGCACUUUAAGUUGGGAGGAAGGGCAGUAAGUUAAUACCUUGCUGUUUUGACGUUACCGACAGAAUAAGCACCGGCUAACUUCGUGCCAGCAGCCGCGGUAAUACGAAGGGUGCAAGCGUUAAUCGGAAUUACUGGGCGUAAAGCGCGCGUAGGUGGUUUUGUAAGUUGGAAGUGAAAUCCCCGGGCUCAACCUGUGAACUGACUCCAAAACUGCAUGACUAGAGUACGGUAGAGGGUAGUGGAAUUUCCUGUGUAGCGGUGAAAUGCGUAGAUAUAGGAAGGAACACCAGUGGCGAAGGCGACUACCUGGACUGAUACUGACACUGAGGUGCGAAAGCGUGGGGAGCAAACAGGAUUAGAAACCCCAGUAGUCC